AUACAUGCAAGUCGAGCGAAGUUUUUCUGGUGCCUGCACUAGAAAAACUUAGCGGCGAACGGGUGAGUAACACGUAAAGAACCUGCCUCAUAGACUGGGACAACUAUUGGAAACGAUAGCUAAUACCGGAUAACAGUAUUUCUCGCAUGGGAGAUAUUUAAAAGCUGGUUAUGCUAACACUAUGAGAUGGCUUGCGGUGCAUUAGCUAGUGGUGGGGUAAAGGCCCACCAAGGCGACGAUGCAUAGCCGACCUGAGAGGGUGAUCGGCCACACUGGGACUGAGACACGGCCCAGACUCCUACGGGAGGCAGCAGUAGGGAAUCUUCCGCAAUGGGCGAAAGCCUGACGGAGCAACGCCGCGUGAGUGAAGAAGGAUUUCGGUUCGUAAAGCUCUGUUGUUAGGGAAGAAUGGAUAUGUAG
rnacentral:rRNA from 1 species